rnacentral:rRNA from 1 species
UUCCAGACUCCUACGGGAGGCAGCAGUGGGGAAUAUUGCACAAUGGGCGCAAGCCUGAUGCAGCCAUGCCGCGUGUAUGAAGAAGGCCUUCGGGUUGUAAAGUACUUUCAGCGGGGAGGAAGGUGUUGAGGUUAAUAACCUCAGCAAUUGACGUUACCCGCAGAAGAAGCACCGGCUAACUCCGUGCCAGCAGCCGCGGUAAUACGGAGGGUGCAAGCGUUAAUCGGAAUUACUGGGCGUAAAGCGCACGCAGGCGGUCUGUCAAGUCGGAUGUGAAAUCCCCGGGCUUAACCCGGGAAUUGCAUCUGAUACUGGUCAGCUAGAGUCUUGUAGAGGGGGGUAGAAUUCCACGUGUAGCAGUGAAAUGCGUAGAUAUGUGGAAGAACACCGAUGGCGAAGGCAGCCUCCUGGGACGCAACUGACGCUCAUACACGAAAGCGUGGGGAGCAAACAGGAUUAGAUACCCUAGUAG